GGUGAACGCUGGCGGCGUGCUUAACACAUGCAAGUCGAACGAAGCACUUUAUUUGAUUUCCUUCGGGACUGAUUAUUUUGUGACUGAGUGGCGGACGGGUGAGUAACGCGUGGGUAACCUGCCUUGUACAGGGGGAUAACAGUUGGAAACGGCUGCUAAUACCGCAUAAGCGCACAGCAUCGCAUGAUGCAGUGUGAAAAACUCCGGUGGUAUAAGAUGGACCCGCGUUGGAUUAGCUAGUUGGUGAGGUAACGGCCCACCAAGGCGACGAUCCAUAGCCGACCUGAGAGGGUGACCGGCCACAUUGGGACUGAGACACGGCCCAAACUCCUACGGGAGGCAGCAGUGGGGAAUAUUGCACAAUGGGCGAAAGCCUGAUGCAGCGACGCCGCGUGAGCGAAGAAGUAUUUCGGUAUGUAAAGCUCUAUCAGCAGGGAAGAUAAUGACGGUACCUGACUAAGAAGCACCGGCUAAAUACGUG
rnacentral:rRNA from 1 species